UAACCUGGUUGAUCCUGCCAGUUAGUCAUAUGCUUGUCUCAAAGAUUAAGCCAUGCAUGUCUUAGUGUAAAUAACGUUUAUGAAACUGCGAAUGGCUCAUUAAAUCAGUUAUCAAAUACGUGAUGGUCGCAAACUACAUGGAUAACCGUAGUAAUUCUAGAGCUAAUACAUGCACAAAGCCAUGUUCACGCAU
rnacentral:rRNA from 1 species